GCCCUACGGGGCGCAGCAGGCGCGAAACCUCCGCAAUGUGAGAAAUCGCGACGGGGGGACCCCAAGUGCCAUUCUUAACGGGAUGGCUUUUCUUAAGUGUAAAAAGCUUUUGGAAUAAGAGCUGGGCAAGACCGGUGCCAGCCGCCGCGGUAACACCGGCAGCUCUAGUGGUGGCCAGUUUUAUUGGGCCUAAAGCGUUCGUAGCCGGUUUAUUAAGUCUCUGGUGAAAUCCCGUAGCUUAACUAUGGGAAUUGCUGGAGAUACUAGUAGACUUGAGGUCGGGAGAGGUUAGAGGUACUCCCAGGGUAGGGGUGAAAUCCUGUAAUCCUGGGAGGACCACCUGUGGCGAAGGCGUCUAACUGGAACGAACCUGACGGUGAGGGACGAAAGCUAGGGGCGCGAACCGGAUUAGAUACCCGGGUAGUCCUAGCCGUAAACGAUGCGGACUUGGUGUUAGGAUGGCUUUGAGCCGCUCUAGUGUCGAAGGGAAGCUGUUAAGUCCGCCGCCUGGGAAGUACGGUCGCAAGGCUGAAACUUAAAGGAAUUGGCGGGGGAGCACCACAACGCGUGGAACCUGCGGUUUAAUUGGAUUCAACGCCGGG
rnacentral:rRNA from 1 species